rnacentral:rRNA from 1 species
AGAGUUUGAUCCUGGCUCAGGAUGAACGCUAGCGGCAGGCUUAACACAUGCAAGUCGAGGGGCAUCGCGGGUGGCAACACCUGGCGGCGACCGGCGAACGGGUGAGUAACGCGUGAGCAACAUGUCCUCAGUCGGGGGAUAAGCGAGGGAAACUUCGUCUAAUACCCCAUAACACUUUCAGGCGCAUGCCUUUAAGUUGAAAGCUUUUUUUGCGACUUUGGUUUGGCUCGCGUGACAUUAGCUAGUCGGUGGGGUAACGGCUCACCGAGGCUACGAUGUCUAGGGGUUCUGAGAGGAAGGCCCCCCACAUUGGGACUGGGACACGGCCCAAACUCCUACGGGAGGCAGCAGUGAGGAAUAUUGGUCAAUGGACGGAAGUCUGAACCAGCCAUGCCGCGUGAAGGAAGACUGCCCUAUGGGUUGUAAACUUCUUUUGCAGCAGAGCAAUAAGGCGUACGUGUACGCCGAUGAGAGUAUGUUGCGAAUAAGCAUCGGCUAACUCCGUGCCAGCAGCCGCGGUAAUACGGAGGAUGCGAGCGUUAUCCGGAUUUAUUGGGUUUAAAGGGUGCGUAGGCUGUUUUGUAAGUCAGCGGUGAAAGACCGGGGCCCAACUCCGGAAGUGCCGUUGAUACUGCAUUGCUAGAGUUCCCCUGCCGUGGGAGGAAUGAGUGGUGUAGCGGUGAAAUGCAUAGAUAUCACUCAGAACACCGAUUGCGAAGGCAUCUCACGAAGAGGCAACUGACGCUGAGGCACGAAAGCGUGGGGAUCAAAGAGGAUUAGAUACCCUGGUAGUCCACGCUGU